UUAUGGAUAUAGUAAUUUCGUGGCACUCUUUACCAAUGCUCUUUACACGUGUUAAAUAAAGAGAAGGACUCGGUUCCACUGUCUUACAACAUUCAAGAUGGCGGAGGAAAGGGGUAAAUGUGCGUUCAGUUGUGAUCAGCAUGAUCUCGACACCAAAAUAACGAUUAUCGUUAUUUCUAAAUUGGCCCUGAAAUAACGAAUAUCAUAAUUUCAGUGCAUGUCUGAGACCUUCGGGCUCGAAGCUUGGGAACUAGUAUUCAGGGAAAGAUAAAAUGGCGGCUUACGGCGGCGAAGGAAAUCUCAGUAGUUUAAUAUUUUAGCGUGAAAAGGCUUGGGUGUUGUGAUCUGGUUCUCAAGUAAAAAAAAAAUCACGGUCUGCAAUGGCCCUACCACCUUUUGAACAACAAGAAAACAUUGAAACGGUGGUAAAAAGCAGCAAGUUUCGAAGUCUAAACGAAAGAUGGGUGGUCAUUAUCCAUUACUUUUGGAAGUCGAUGCUGAUGAGAAAGAAAAAAUGUUUAUGAUUAUUUCUUCUCUCGAACAUUUUACUAUUUAGGUACCAAAUAAUCUUGAUACUGAAGACCAUUGCAUCCUAUUAUGAAAAAUUUACCCCUGAUUGCUUUGUCAACAUGUAUGAUGUAAUAUACCUUGAGAUUUGUGGGAUUUUCACAUGUAAACUAGAAAUACCUGUAGAGGGUAAUGAUGUACUUAAUGCAAAGUGUUUUGGUACAAAGUCUGCUUUGCUGUAAUCUACCUGAAGGUGCUUUUUAUAUGCUAGUAACACUUGCACAGCCCAGUCAAAAUGUUCUUUAGUAGUAGACAAGCUGGCUGUUGUAAUUAUAGGCAGCAGAGGCCAAACCUCAUCCUGAAAAGCAGUCUGAAAGGUGUGAAGUCAGUGGAAGAUACUUCAUCGUAGGUGGCCAAAUUGCAGGCUGUCAGCCCAUUUUGAGUGAGUAGUUAAACUCAAGAUCGGCUAUUUUAACUAAUUUUAUUGAGAGCCAAAUCCUGCAAGGCUUAUAUUCUGUAUUAAUUUGAAGUGUUACUUUUAUGUUUCUUAUUUUGCAGUAAGUGGGCUUGUUGUGGCCAUUUUUCUCUCAAACAUUUUUUUCAGCUUAGUCAAAACGUUUUUUAGAAGUAGGCAAGCUGGCUAUAGUAACAGAAGGUAGAGACCAAACCUUGUCCAGACUAGACGCCUAACAAAUGUUCUGUGUGGACAGCCAAAUCCCUGGUUACCGGCACAUUUUGACUAGGCUAUUUGUUAUUUAGCUACUAAGUAAUCUUAUUAUUAAAGAUUACUGCAUUCCUUUUUAAUAAUUUGCUGCCAAUUGUAUGCUGUAUAUAGCUUAUGAUUUGUGUGAUUUUCAAGAGUAAAUUAGAAAUACCUGAAGAUGGUAAUGAUGUACUAGAUAACGUACUUGAUGCAAAGCAAUUUUGGCACAAAGUGUAUGCCUUGUCCUCAGGUGAUUUUAACAUGCUAAUAAGAUUUGUUAUUCAAAUAAUAUACAUCAGCUGGAAUGGGAAUAUUGAAAGAAAAAUAAUAAUAUUUAACCAUAACAAGUUUUGGUUUUAUGUCCAAAUUAAGCACUUAGUUGAAGAUCACUGCACUGAUCAGGCCCCGAAGGCCAAAAAAGUGCUGUCUGCUGUUAGUUUAAUUUUUGUCAUUUCUAUUGAUUUAUUUUAUUUAUCAAUGUUUCUUUGAGUUAUAAUUCAUUGACCUCUUUCAAUAGUGCAGGUUCGCUCAUGUAACCUAAUCCCACAUGUAUGUAUGUACAAUCUCAGUUGAAAUUUUGAGUGGCAGGCAAGCUGGCAAUAGUAAUAGGCAGCAGAGGCCAAAUCUUGUCCUGAAUAGAAGUCUGACAUGUGUGAAAUUGGCAGCUAUUUCAUUGUAGGUGGCCAAAUUGUUGGCUGCAGCACAUUUUGACCUGGCUGAUUGUGUGUGUUAUGUAUGUGUUCUUCUUUUUAGGUGUUAAACAGGUCAAAGUACCGAAAAAAACCUCUGUGAUAACUUGGUAGUCUAAGAUGUAAAAAUUUUUAAUAAUAAGGUAAAGCUUGAUCAUUCUUAAGAGUUUGCAUCUGUUCUAAAAGUUUUGGGGAGAGUUAGGGGAGCAUUAUUUAUACAAAUGUAUUUAAAAAGUAACAAAAAAAUAAAAAGAACUAGGGCAAAAUCCCAAUUUGCUUUAAAAGUUUAUUUUAUUAAGAGCAUAAUUCUGGAUAUAGCUUGGGAUUUGUGUGAUUUUCACAAAUUGUUAGGUUGUUAUGUAAACUUAAUUUACAGGAACCUUGUUAAUUUUCAGCUUCAAGAACAAGUACAUAAUUGCAGGAAAAGCUUGAAGCUUGAAAAAUUGACUGAUGAAACUGGAACAGAUGUCAUGAGAUUUGUACAAUAGGUUGGCCUGGGAGGGACCAAGAAUUAAAGAAUUCAUUGAUUCUCUUACACCUUUUGUCUGCAUAGUGUGCUUCUGUAGAGCUUAGUUAUUGCUGUAGAAAACGUUUUUGGAGGGCCCUUGAGAUCACUCACUUUUGAGCUAGUUGCCCCUAGGGAAGAGGAUAUCUGUACUUAUUAUCUCCCUUGGGGGGGGGGGGGGUGAAGGGUUAAAGACUGAUUCUUCUCCAGUAGCCACAAGUACCCCUGCAUAUGGAAAUUUUGAACACUAUUAAAGGGCUAGUACCCUCAUUUCAUACUUGAAUUUCUAAUUUAGUGUAAGUUAUGACAAAUAAUGAAUGUAAAUUCAUCUUGGUUGUACAGGUUAUAUCCAGCAGUCCUUAAAAAAAAUAAAAAGGUAUUUUUCUGAAUUAAAAAAAAAGUGUUCUUGCUUCAAAGUAAGUGCAUGAUAUGUCAUUCAAUUAA